ACAUUUAUAGUUGAAAAAGACAAACAAAUCCAUGAACAAGUUGCAUCGCAACGGGAGAUGUUGACAGAAAAUGGGGAGUAAGUGGAUGAUAAUCAAUUAUACUAUGACGCAGUUGGUGGAUACAACAAGAAAAAAAGAAUUUAUGGACUUGGUUCAUAUGGUUGUUCUAGUUGUUAAUGGUCCGACUAAUGAUAAUUGUUGUUUAUUAAGACUAUUACAAUGUUGUUUAGACUUUAAUUAACUAUUAUUAUGUAUUAUAUGUUCAUUGAUAAUGUAUUAUUACUUAAACUUAAUGUAGAAUUAUAAUAUACUUCUUACUUUAUUUUAGAAUUAA